GGGUUGUGAGGUUAAGCGACUAAGCGUACACGGUGGAUGCCCUGGCAGUCAGCGGCGAUGAAGGACGUGCUAAUCUGCGAUAAGCGCCGGUAAGGUGAUAUGAACCGUUAUAACCGGCGAUUUCCGAAUGGGGAAACCCAGUGUGAUUCGUCACACUAUCAUUAACUGAAUCCAUAGGUUAAUGAGGCGAACCGGGGGAACUGAAACAUCUAAGUACCCCGAGGAAAAGAAAUCAACCGAGAUUCCCCCAGUAGCGGCGAGCGAACGGGGAGGAGCCCAGAGCCUGAAUCAGCAUGUGUGUUAGUGGAAGCGUCUGGAAAGGUGCGCGAUACAGGGUGACAGCCCCGUACACAAAAGCGCAUGUGCUGUGAGCUCGAUGAGUAGGGCGGGACACGUGGUAUCCUGUCUGAAUAUGGGGGGACCAUCCUCCAAGGCUAAAUACUCCUGACUGACCGAUAGUGAACCAGUACCGUGAGGGAAAGGCGAAAAGAACCCCGGCGAGGGGAGUGAAAAAGAACCUGAAACCGUGUACGUACAAGCAGUGGGAGCACCCUUCGGGGUGUGACUGCGUACCUUUUGUAUAAUGGGUCAGCGACUUAUAUUCUGUAGCAAGGUUAACCGUAUAGGGGAGCCGGAGGGAAACCGAGUCUUAAUUGGGCGUUAAGUUGCAGGGUAUAGACCCGAAACCCGGUGAUCUAGCCAUGGGCAGGUUGAAGGUUGGGUAACACUAACUGGAGGACCGAACCGACUAAUGUUGAAAAAUUAGCGGAUGACCUGUGGCUGGGGGUGAAAGGCCAAUCAAACCGGGAGAUAGCUGGUUCUCCCCGAAAGCUAUUUAGGUAGCGCCUCGUGAAUUCAUCUCCGGGGGUAGAGCACUGUUUCGGCUAGGGGGCCAUCCCGGCUUACCAACCCGAUGCAAACUGCGAAUACCGGAGAAUGUUAUCACGGGAGACACACGGCGGGUGCUAACGUCCGUCGUGAAGAGGGAAACAACCCAGACCGCCAGCUAAGGUCCCAAAGUCAUGGUUAAGUGGGAAACGAUGUGGGAAGGCCCAGACAGCCAGGAUGUUGGCUUAGAAGCAGCCAUCAUUUAAAGAAAGCGUAAUAGCUCACUGGUCGAGUCGGCCUGCGCGGAAGAUGUAACGGGGCUAAACCAUGCACCGAAGCUGCGAAAGAAAAA
rnacentral:rRNA from 1 species